UCUCUCCCUAUAAUAAAAACAUUAUAGGGAGAGAGUAAAGGUGCCCUAUA
rnacentral:misc_RNA from 1 species